rnacentral:rRNA from 1 species
CGCCGCGUGAAGGAUGAAGCUUUCGGGACGUAAACUUCUUUUAUCGAGGAAGAAGAAUGUGACGGUACUCGAUGAAUAAGCCCCGGCUAACUACGUGC